CGGCCCACCAAGGCGACGAUCGGUAGCCGGACUGAGAGGUUGAACGGCCACAUUGGGACUGAGACACGGCCCAGACUCCUACGGGAGGCAGCAGUGGGGAAUAUUGCACAAUGGGGGAAACCCUGAUGCAGCGACGCCGCGUGGAGGAAGAAGGUCUUCGGAUUGUAAACUCCUGUUGUUGAGGAAGAUAAUGACGGUACUCAACAAGGAAGUGACGGCUAACUACGUGCCAGCAGCCGCGGUAAAACGUAGGUCACAAGCGUUGUCCGGAAUUACUGGGUGUAAAGGGAGCGCAGGCGGGAAGACAAGUUGGAAGUGAAAUCCAUGGGCUCAACCCAUGAACUGCUUUCAAAACUGUUUUUCUUGAGUAGUGCAGAGGUAGGCGGAAUUCCCGGUGUAGCGGUGGAAUGCGUAGAUAUCGGGAGGAACACCAGUGGCGAAGGCGGCCUACUGGGCACCAACUGACGCUGAGGCUCGAAAGUGUGGGUAGCAAACAGGAUUAGAUACCCUGGUAGUCCACACUGUAAACGAUGAUUACUAGGUGUUGGAGGAUUGACCCCUUCAGUGCCGCAGUUAACACAAUAAGUAAUCCACCUGGGGAGUACGACCGCAAGGUUGAAACUCAAAGGAAUUGACGGGGGCCCGCACAAGCAGUGGAGUAUGUGGUUUAACUCGACGCAACGCGAAGAACCUUACCAAGUCUUGACAUCCCUUGACGAUGCUGGAAACAGUAUUUCUCUUCGGAGCAAGGAGACAGGUGGUGCAUGGUUGUCGUCAGCUCGUGUCGUGAGAUGUUGGGUUAAGUCCCGCAACGAGCGCAACCCUUAUGGUCAGUUACUACGCAAGAGGACUCUGGCCAGACUGCCGUUGACAAAACGGAGGAAGGUGGGGAUGACGUCAAAUCAUCAUGCCCUUUAUGACUUGGGCUACACACGUACUACAAUGGCGUUAAACAAAGAGAAGCAAGACCGCGAGGUGGAGCAAAACUCAGAAACAACGUCCCAGUUCGGACUGCAGGCUGCAACUCGCCUGCACGAAGUCGGAAUUGCUAGUAUCGCAGAUCAGCAUGCUGCGGUGAAUACGUUCCCGGGCCUUGUACACACCGCCCGUCACACCAUGAGAGCCGGGGGGACCCGAAGUCGGUAGUCUAACCGCAAGGAGGACGCCGCCGAAGGUAAAACUGGUGAUUGGGGUGAAGUCGUAACAAGGUAGCCGUAGGAGAACCUGCGGCUG
rnacentral:rRNA from 1 species